GUGAGAUUGAAUGUCACCAACAGAUGCAAUCGACCGAAAACCUAUCAGAGCUUUGGUUUACAGUUCACACAAUCUCAUCAGGGCUGAACGACAAACCGAAUAUAACAGCUCCUGUGAUUCCCUAAGCAUCUGUAAAACAUGAGGAGGAUGAAUUUAUAAACGAGAAUCCUGGGCAGCGCACUGUAAACGAACGAUUGAAGGGGUGGAGGGGAAAGCUUUGGCGACGUCAAGAAAUUCUACGGAACUGACAUGGAGAGUUUGUUCUGUGAGAAGAAGCCAUUGUGGUUGGGAAAGAAGGGUUG
rnacentral:misc_RNA from 1 species